rnacentral:rRNA from 1 species
CUGGAGCUUGCUCCGGCGGAUUAGUGGCGAACGGGUGAGUAACACGUGAGCAAUCUGCCCUUGACUCUGGGAUAACUGCGGGAAACUGUAGCUAAUACCGGAUACUUUCCUCGGUGGGCAUCCACUGAGGAAGAAAGAAUUUCGGUCAAGGAUGAGCUCGCGACCUAUCAGCUAGUUGGUGAGGUAAAGGCUCACCAAGGCGACGACGGGUAGCCGGCCUGAGAGGGUGACCGGCCACACUGGGACUGAGACACGGCCCAGACUCCUACGGGAGGCAGCAGUGGGGAAUAUUGCACAAUGGACGAAAGUCUGAUGCAGCAACGCCGCGUGAGGGACGAAGGCCUUCGGGUUGUAAACCUCUUUUAGCAGGGAAGAAGCGAAAGUGACGGUACCUGCAGAAAAAGCACCGGCUAACUACGUGCCAGCAGCCGCGGUAAUACGUAGGGUGCAAGCGUUGUCCGGAAUUAUUGGGCGUAAAGAGCUCGUAGGCGGUUUGUCGCGUCUGCUGUGAAAUUUCG